CGUAUAACAAAUAAAAAUAAAGUUGAAUAUCCAACUAUUCGGGAUGGAAGAAAGGCAAGGGAAAUAAUGAGGAACUUAGAGAUGAAGAGGAAACUCACCCGAGUUCACUCAGUUAAUAAACAGGAAACAUAUCCUACUCCUAAACCAUCCACUCCGCCCUCUGCUUCUGGACAGAGAUCUUUCAUGAGUGUUGGUUGGUGACAAGAACAUGAAACUACAUAGUUUGGAAAAUUUUCAGGUUUUUUUUUUUUUUUUUU
rnacentral:lncRNA from 1 species